UACGGAGGGUGCAAGCGUUAUCCGGAUUCACUGGGUUUAAAGGGUGCGUAGGUGGGCAAGUAAGUCAGUGGUGAAAUCUCCGGGCUUAACCCGGAAACUGCCAUUGAUACUAUUUGUCUUGAAUACUGUGGAGGUCAGCGGAAUAUGUCAUGUAGCGGUGAAAUGCUUAGAUAUGACAUAGAACACCAAUUGCGAAGGCAGCUGACGAAACUGUAACUGACGCUGAGGCACGAAAGCGUGGGGAUCAAACAGG
rnacentral:rRNA from 1 species